rnacentral:rRNA from 1 species
AGUGAACGCUGGCGGUAGGCCUAACACAUGUAAGUCGAACGGCAGCACAGGAGAGCUUGCUCUCUGGGUGGCGAGUGGCGGACGGGUGAGGAAUACAUCGGAAUCUACUCUGUCGUGGGGGAUAACGUAGGGAAACUUACGCUAAUACCGCAUACGACCUACGGGUGAAAGCAGGGGACCUUCGGGCCUUGCGCGAUUGAAUGAGCCGAUGUCGGAUUAGCUAGUUGGCGGGGUAAAGGCCCACCAAGGCGACGAUCCGUAGCUGGUCUGAGAGGAUGAUCAGCCACACUGGAACUGAGACACGGUCCAGACUCCUAUGGGAGGCAGCAGUGGGGAAUAUCGGACAAUGGGCGCAAGCCUGAUCCAGCCAUACCGCGUGGGUGAAGAAGGCCUUCGGGUUGUAAAGCCCUUUUGUUGGGAAAGGAAUCCAGCUGGCUAAUACCCGGUUGGGAUGACGGUACCCAAAGAAUAAGCACCGGCUAACUUCGUGCCAGCCGCCGCUGUAA